CAAUGAUAAAACCUUAGUUUGAUAGAAAAUACAAACUCGACCAACGACUGUAAAAAGCAUACAUAGCCUUUCUGCAAAUCCAUAGCCAGUUUUUUCCUCGACGGCAAUCGAUUUCUUCCGUCAGUUGUUCAUCAGAGGUAACCUCUAAAUUUCGGCCCAGUGAAACAAGAUGGGAAAUCCAGUAUCAUCUAUCUCAACAAUAGAGAAUCAAGAGCUGGAUGUUGUUCUUGAUGAUGAUAAGAACGAUGAAAGAGAGAGUAGUUCCAAGGAUUGGAUUAGUGUUUGCCUGACCAUGUUCGUAUAACUAUACUAGGCAGGUAUGUGCAGUCUGUAAGAGGUGGAGACCUUCGUUUGCAUAUACAAGUUCCUUGGACUUUGAUGCUUCAGAAGUUCUUUUUUCAAUGUUUUCCUAAUCACGAAUUGGUGCUCAAACAGAGGCCUUGGUUCAUAGUUUGGGUGAAUCAGAUCCUGAAAUUACACAAGGCUACCAUCAUUGAGUUUAGAAUUCGUUUUGAUCUUGAUAAAACCUCAGCAAAUGAGAUUGACAGUUGGCUUCACUUUGCAUUUAUCAAGGAGAGUUCAAAGACUUGAGUUUAACUUAUCUUCCGUGGUAAAAGUUGUAUCUGAUUCCUCUGUUGAUUCAAUCCUCCUGAAGCAACUACAACCAAGAAUCUCCUCUUCUCCUUUGAAAUUCUUGAAGAAGCCUUUCUGUAUUUGAUAUUAAAAUCCAAAUCUCCAUCGGGCUUCUUCCAAAACUCCUUCUCCUCUUUUGACACAUUACCGGAAACUCCUUGAGCGGGUAAUGGCACCAUUACACUAUUUGCUAGUCCAGGCUCAUAUUCUCCAUUUGCUGUAGAAAGAGAAGCUAAAAGAAACUGUGAAUGUGAUUUAGAAGGAAAAGAGUGUGAAGACGAAGGAGAAAUCAAAGAACAUGGAACAGAGUCACGAGAAAAUAAGGGAAUGAAGCUUGAAAUAGAAAUACCCAAAAUAGAGAAAGAAAAAAAGAAAUAAAAGAACGAAGAGAGAGAGGGAGAGAGUUCUUGCAGUUGUUGUUGUUGAUGAUGGUGUAAAGAAUUUGGCGUGGUUUCUUGGGCUUUUUCUGGGAGAGAAGAGAAGAGAAGUUAACGGAGAGAUAGAAACUAAGUGAAAAACCGGUGAUGACGUGAGUGUCAAAAAUGGGUUCUUGAUAUUUCUUGCUCUCGCCAUUAAAGCUUGAUAUCGAGGGUGAUUUAAAAAACUAAAUCAAGAAACUGUGGAUUGCCAUAAAAUAAGAUAACAAUAUAUCAUAGAAAUUAAACAGAAUAUAAAAAAGAGCUUUUACUCUAUAGAUUGGUCCAGAUCUACAAUUGUUCAAAAAAAAAUCUACAAUUGUUCAAAAAAGACUCAACGUCUAAUCAUAUCGUACUACCCCAAUUUCACAAAAGACUCAACUCAACCAUAGUCUUCUUCACUCGUGUAUUAAAACCACCCCAAGCCCGGAGGCGUAUGUUCUCUGCUAUGGGAUCCGUAUAUUUUCACGGCCGGCAUGACGCCGUAUCGGUUGCCGUCGGUGUCAAUGAUGUCCAAAGUUCUGUUAUAAUCCUCGGGGGACGAAAUGAUGUUCUUCAGGUCGUGUUUGUGAGCUUGUUCUAGAAUUUUAAUUUGAUCCAAUAUCUCAAGAACAAAAUCAUAUUUUUGUGUUUAGAAGGAAAAAAAUUU